AUCAUGCCUCUGAAAUCCCAAUGCUCACUCCCAAAAUUGGCAUCCUUGUGUGAGAUUGCUAUAUUUUAGGAUACCAAAUAAGGGAGCUAUCUGCUAAACAGUGCCAUAAUUUAAUAUGGAAAUCCCAGAUAAGGUAACCAAAUUAGUGAGCUAUCAACUAAACAGCUGAAAGACCAAACGUAAGACAAUGGCUUUUCUCAGUUUUGAUACAAGUUCCUCUAUGGAUUUUAGAAAGUUCUUCAUGUAAGGAUGAAGCAAAGAAAGAACCACAUCGAAGGGAAUCUAAUUCUGGCCCUUAAAAUCAUUCCCCAUCACUUACCUGUCUACAUUCAGCGGUAAAACAAUGUAUAGCUCUUGGGCUGUCCAGAUACUCUGUGUUCAGAAUAAUAAGUGGAAGACACGCAUUUUAAAAGCCUAUAAAUGAUGCAUGCCCUAAUAUUAUAUUUGUUUAUAACUGCAAAUAAAAGGUUACAUAUAUUAUAGACUAACUGCUGUAGAAUUAGGAAUAUAAAUAUAUAUUCCUAAUGCUAUAGGUUUAAGCUAUCUAUUUAGGCCCCCCUCCACGCCUGUGAGCGUUUGAAAGGCGAGAUUUACUUACCUUUCAGCCACUCACAGUAACCGGUCUCCUGGUUGUUACUCUGCCUCUUUUAGAAACAUUGGGAGACUAUUGCGCAUGCGCAGCAAAACACAGUGCACUGCCACCAGUCAAAUAGCCUCUGAGACCAUCUGAUUGAACAGCCGAGUUUAACUCGAUUUAUUGAGGUGGAAGCGGCAUGUUGACCAUACAAUGUAAACAUUGCCAUUCCUGCAGAACUUUACUGAGAGGGUAGUGGAUGCAUGGAAUAGCCUUCCAUCUGAAGUGGUAGAGGUUAACACAGUAAAGGAGUUUAAGCAUGCGUAGGAUAGGCAUAAGGCUAUCCUAACUAUAAGAUAAGGCCAGGGACUAAUUAAAGUAUUUAGAAAAUUGGGCAGACUAGAUGGGCCAAAUGGUUCUUAUGUGCCGUCACAUUCUAUGUCCUCUUCAAUCCGAUGCACCACAUAUCUGCCAGGACCAGGUGUAAUCUGAACAUCUGAGAACAUUUGUGAGAAGCACAAUACAUGUUCAUGACAUGAGGAUGUGCGCGCACACACAGCUCAGUUAUCUGCACGGUUUCUGUGCCUGCAGGUGCUUCCAGCCAAAGGGAGUUUAAAGUUGGCUGUCCUAAUGGUGCAAUGACAAUAGUAGCAGCAAUGAAAAAUGUAUUUAUCUUAUCCUACUUCUAGCAUGAAAGGCUUAUUGUAGACACUAAGGAGUCUUUGCACGGUUGUCAGAUGCCAUGAUAUGCUGUAAGUGAGAGGAGUAAGCCAGGUGUGCACAGUCUCUCUCUGUUAUCCACAUUUGGAUGGUUAAUAAGAAAUUAAAGUUAUUAUGGCAGCAGCAAUGGAACUCCGCU